rnacentral:rRNA from 1 species
UACCAGCACCCCGAGUGGUCGGGACGAUUAUUGGGCCUAAAGCAUCCGUAGCCGGUCAUGCAAGUCUUCCGUUAAAUCCAGCCGCUCAACGGUUGGGCUGCGGAGGAUACUACGUGGCUAGGAGGCGGGGAGAGGCAAGCGGUACUCAGUGGGUAGGGGUAAAAUCCUUUGAUCCAUUGAAGACCACCAGUGGCGAAGGCGGCUUGCCAGAACGCGCUCGACGGUGAGGGAUGAAGCUGGGGGAGCAACCGG